ensembl:snoRNA
AUCCUUUUGUAGUUCCUAACUAUGAUCAUUGGGUUUUCACGCACAUGUGUGAGAUGUACCUGCCACAAAUCUUACGACGUCAGCACAUUGCCUGUCUGACG